rnacentral:lncRNA from 1 species
AAAUUAAUCAAUUAACAAAAUUAAUCAAGUAAAAUAAAUUUAAUCAAUUAAUCAAGUUAAUUAAAAACCAAUUAAUAAAAUUAGUCAAUAAGCAACCCAAUUUGAUCAAUUAAUUAUAUAUAAAAAAGAGAAAUAAAGAAAUAGUAAUAAAAUUAAAAAGAAAAAAAUAAAAGAAAAAAGUUGGUAGGGGCCGCAUGGGCCUCACAUGCUCUUC